UUGGGCCGCUCCCGUGGCAUAUGGAGGUUCCCAGGCUAGGGGUCGAAUCGGAGCUGCAGCCCCCGGCCUACGCCAGAGCCACAGCAACGCGGGAUCCGAGCCGCGUCUGCAACCUACACCACAGCUCACGGCAACGCCGGAUCGUUAACCCACUGAGCAAGGGCAGGGAUCGAACCCGCAACCUCAUGGUUCCUAGUCGGAUUCGUUAACCACUGCGCCACAACGGGAACUCCACUACAUCUUCUGAAUCCAUUCAUCUGUCAAUGGACAUUUAGGUUGUUUCCAUGUCUUGGCUAUAGUGAAUAGUUCUGCAAUGAACGUAGGGGUCCAUGGAUAUUUCAAGGAAAGUUUUGUCCAGGUAUAUGCCCAGGAGUGGGGUUGCUUGAUCAUAUGGUCAUUCUAUAUUUAGUUUUCUGAGGUACCUCCACACUGUUUUCCACAGAGGUAGUACCAAUUUACAUUCCCACCAGCAGUGUAGUAGGUUCCCUUUUCUCCACAUCCUCUCCAGCAUUUGUUAUUUGUAGACUUAUUAAUGAUGGCCAUUCUGACAGGUGUGAGGUGGUACCUCACUGUAGUUUUGAUUUGUAUUUCUCUAAUAAUUACUGAAAUCUAUAUUUUAAUCCUGGUUGAAGACAUAUUACAUCUUCAAGGAGAAAGCAGAGGAGUCUCUUGUUUGUAUCUCUGUUAACUCAGAAAUUCAGCCACAGAUAUCAUUUACAUAUAUCAGAUGACCCAGCUGUGGGAGAAUUUCCAAGAGAAGAUAUGCAGAGAGAAGUUGAAAAAGAAAUAUUUCUCUAAGCUCUCUCCAGAAGGAACAUACCUCCAGCCAAACUGGACAUGUACAGAUUUAUUUCAUUUUGUAAAUAAAAAGGACAAAUUUCUGAGCCCACCUGUCAAAGUAUACACAAGCAAGGACGAGUUCUUUUCUUCUGCUCCAUUGCCCUGUGCUGCUCUCCACCUGGCCAGGGGGGUCACAGGCUUGGGAUCUGGUCCACUCAUAUGGGUGAAUCUAAAGGAGACACUAACCAGAACUUUUUUCCUGUUCUUCCUGGAGAUUCUUGCCAAGUUGCACCCUAAACCGGUGCCAGGGACCAGAUACAAUUUUGAUGCAUGUCUUGAGGCCCUGACACAGGGUGAGAUUUCAAGGAAACAUCCAAGCUUAGAGGACAAUUGGCUUCUAGGAUCUGAAAUACAGGAAAUGCAGCUACAGAAGAAAGUUUCUUCCAAAGAAGACAGCUAGGAGUUCCUGUUGUGGCACAGCAGAAACAAAUCUGACUAGUAACCAUGAAGCUGCGGGUUCGAUCCCUGGCCUUGCUCAAUGGGUUAAGGAUCCAGCAUUCCAUGAGCUGUGGUAUAGGUCACAGAUGUGGCUUGGAUCUGGCGUUGCUGUGGCUGUGGCAUAGGCCAGCAGCUGUAGUGCCAAUUCGCCCCCUAGUCUGGGAACCUCCAUAUGCUGCAGGUGCGGCCCUGAAAAGACCAAAAAAAAAAAAAAAAAAAAAAGACAGCUAAUAACACUGGGGUCUCAGAAGUGCAGUCAAACUUAAGGGAGCUGGGCAGAGUCUCAGCCCCACUGCCUUGUCCCAGGAUGCCCAGGUACCUUCCUCAAAGAGGUGAUGCUCCUGCAGGAGGAGGGGGGCGGGGGGUGUUAUUGUGGGUGGCAGGAAGCAAUGUGGUUGUUUCAAACAUGAGAGUAGGAUUCCUCUCAGGAAGAGAGAGGUGGUUAGGUCUUGAGGAUGAGGUCCCCUGGGCAGGGUGGGGGUGCAUGAGGAAGUAGGCCAAAGAGAGGACCGCAAAGUGUGGACUAAGUGAUAAUGGGAAGUCAGGAGGAGAGGAGCAAGUCAAAUGAGGAGAAGGAGAUGGAAAGCAAGACAGCAAUAGAAGUGGGCUCUCCUUCAAGAACUUCCCCGGAGCAGGAAUAUGCUUUUAAAAGCAUUGUCCAGGAGUUCCCGUCGUGGCUCAGCAGUUAACGAGUCUGACUAGGAACGGUGAGGUUUCGGGUUCGAUCUCUGCCCUUGCUCAAUGGGUUAAGGAUCCGGCAUUGCUGUGAGCUGUGGUGUAGGUCACAGACGCGGCUCGGAUCCUGCAUUGCUGUGGCUCUGGCGUAGACCGGCGCUAGAGCUCCGAUUGGACCCCUAGCCUGGGAACCUUUAUAUGCCACGGGAGCAGCCCUAGAAAUGGCAAAAAGACCAAAAAAAAAAAAAAAAAAAAAAAAAAAGCAUUGUCCAGAUUCCCAUUCUAAGUUAUUUGCUGAGUGAGAGGUCAUGCCCUCCAUUGCCUCAGACCUUCAGGAAGCCCUUGCUGCCUCUCAAGCCUUGGACCAGAAGCAGUCUGGGAAAGAAAGGAACUGCAAUGAUGCCCAGUGGGGUGACCCAAAGCAGGAAGGAGGUGGUGUUCGUGAAAAGCAAAACAGAGAGAAGCUAUAGAACUCAGCAAAAUCAGGAAUUUCAAUCGGAGUGACUGGAAAACCUGAGUCACCCCAAGAAUCACCUGGCCCCGCUCCUGUGUUUCCCUCCAUAUGGGGGUUGAGGGUUUGAGAUAAAAAAAAAUCUCAAAGGCCAACAUGUUCCUAGCAAGCUGGAUGAUUUGGGGAUAGCCACGUAGCUGACACUUGAAUUUAACAUUCAUGCUAUCAUUCUUUAAAAUGCUGUGGUGAUACUCUUUCCUUUCAAAUAUAAUUUUCCUGGGACUACAAUAAUUUUGAGCCCUCUUCUGGAAUUCCAAAACGUCCAAGGGAGGAUGGGUGGGAAGUGCAUUGGGAUCCGUUCCUUUUCCUCUGCAAGAAGAUUCAAUAUUUUAAAAUAAGAAACUCUUCGGAGAAUCAUAGUUUCCUUCUGAUUGUUUGGAACGGGGAUUCACUAUUAGUGAAUCACUAUAACUUGUGACCCACUCAGUGAUUUGCUGGUCAGCUCAAAUCAAUUCUGAUUCAUUUCACCUCUUUACUUGUGUGUGUGCAGCGGGGGGAACAGAGGGCAUAAAACCAGUGUUGAUAAACUGAGCAGCCCGUCUUCCUAUCCGAGAGAAAUACUGCCUCUGCAUAAACGUUCUGGGUGAGAGGGUCUUUACAUCGUCAGCCCCCUCCACCACGUGGGAUGUGCCUGCCUUUUGAUGCUUGUUUUGAUGCUUGAAUUUCUUCCUCUGCAGCCGAAGUUCUCCAUGUGUUUGGGUGGAGUUGUGCUUUAAUGGAGAGAGGCAAGGAAAUACGGGGGUUGAGGAAGAGAGCAAACGCCUGAAGUCUUUGAGAGUUCAGAUGUUUGUAAAACUUUUAAGAAAAAAGAAAACAGACAUGAUUUUUAGGAGCUAGGCCUUCCUUCCCCCCCAAGGCCCCUGACAUACACACACACACACACACGUGUGAUGCCCCACUAGCAGAGUCCCACGAGGCUACGUGAAGCCCUUUGGUGACUCCUGGAACUCUGCAUAGCUGAGGUUGGGACCGAUAGGAGACAGGACACAACAAGCUCUUCGAAAACCAUCGCACGAUAUGAUCAUCAAUGGGUAAUAUGAGCUGGGGGUUAGUUAAAUAAAAUGUGAACGCCGUAUUAAUGACCCCUGUGGCUGCCUAACAUAGCAUUUCAUCUUCCUUUCCAAGGAGGCAGAGAGGAGGGCCGGCAAAUAAAUUGUAGAUGAAACCCCCAUCAUAUGUUUAUAAAUACACUAACAUUAGCAUUUUACUUGCUCAUAAAUCUGCAGCAAACACUCAGGCACAAGAUAGAGAGCCCUGUAAAACAAUGAUAUAUUCUCUGCUCGCAGGCAUCGACCAGUGGGCCAUUCACCGCCGAUGCCGUUCUUCAAACACGUUCCCUCCGCUCCUGCCCCCUCAUUUAAAAUCCAUUUUAAUUUAAAGAUGCGCAAGGCAGUGCUCGUGGUACAUUUAGUCAUCCUAGUUAUACAUCAUGGAGCAAGGAAAAGAAAAUUGUUUCAUCUAGAGAUACGGUUCAAUGUGGUCACCACUGAACAGUGGAGUAAUUACCAUAUCAGGCCCACUCAAAAUGCACUCAGGGUGUUCUGUGACCUAUCAUUUGCUAAUCUGCAUAGUGAAGUAUAGCUUCAUAACUAUAAAUUGCUGACUUAAUUAAAACCAGGACCUUUCUGUCAUUUAAUUACAGGGAGAAAGGUUAUUGCUUAAAUGCAAUUUUCCAAAUGUGAUUUCUUAACAGUUAUUAACUGCUUCACCAUCAUUUAUUGUUUCAGAUUUUUCAAUUUGAAAAUACUCCCCGUGACAGAAGUAAUGACUUCAUGAAAAACUCAAUCUAGAGGGAGGCCAGCCAGCCCAUUUGUUUCUCAUAAGUGGAGCCGACAGGAUGCUGGAAAAUGUCACCGGAGGAUCCUGGGAUGGCUCUCACUUUCGGGGAGUAAUUAGAACCCAGAGGGUCGUCUCCGAAGCAGGGAGAGGUUGUGGAUAUUUUAAAGGUGGUCCCUCCCCUCCAUCCUAGCUGGCCCGUGGCUUUGCCUCAUAAACCAUGGUGGUGGCACAGGGUGGGGCCGGACGGUGCUGAGGUCAGCUUGGAGCAGCGUGAGCAGAUCAAGGGGACCAAAGAUCUGCACUUGGGCUCAGUCAGCUACCAGGCACUGAUCUGAAUGUGUACAUGCUCUUUGUAAGGUCCCUACAGCUAGGACUGCUUCUGCCGCAGAAUGAGAACCCGAAGUUUGGAUAUGGUAGGUAGCCCCGAGAUGAAGAGAGCAGUCCUUAUCUUCCUUCACCCUACGUCUGUCUUUAGUGGUUGUAUCUUCUCUUUUGCUCCAUGUCUUAUUAUGUAGCCUGGGGUUACUCCGAUAAAGAGGAGAGACGGGCGAAGCCGGCCAACCCAGGUAAGCUGGGCAACUGAGCAUCCCCAAAGCACUUCUUCGGUAGCAGGGGAUGUAGGCAUUGUCUUAAUGCCCAAGUGCCCUAAAUGGAGAUUUGUGAAGCUGUUAAACUCAACCCUGCACUUCCUCUUGUAGUUCAUCCCCAGCAGAAGCGCCAGGAAUUUAGCUGAGACGGCAAAUCUGGUUUUUCCCUUGACUCUGACAGCUCCUUGCUGGAAAGUUUACAAAACAAAUGUACUUCCUGCCGGAAGGGGCCCAAAUGUCUUGCUCAUUGGCGGAGAGCUCCCUUAAAUUUUACUUUCACUUUAGAAAAGGGUUAAAGUUAAAAUUUCUCAGACAAAGAUGUAGAAUUUUGUCCCAUUUCUAUAUAGUUUAGCCAUUACUUUUGGCUUUAUUCAUGGUGGCAGAUACCCCAAGCUGACUGAUGGGGAUUUCAUAAAAGCUUAAUCAGAUUAUUAAUAAUCCCUUAUGUUCUCCAUCAGCGUCGAGCUUUGCAGUGUUCAAAGUAUUUUCAUACGCUUUAACAAUUUCAGCUCUGUUGCAUACCAUCAACGGCCAGCAUCUCCCAACAUAUUUUUAGUAACACCUAUAUUUAAAAGGCAUGGCUCCUGCCUACAUUCAAUCAGGAAAGUUAUUUGAUCCUUAAUCUAAUUCAAUAACGUAGCAGGUAGCAAGAAAGGUACUUUAAACAAGGCUACACCACACCACAUACUGGUUUUUUGUUUUUGUUUUGUUUUGUUUUGUUUUGUUUUUAGAAGAAACAGAAAACACAUUCAGGUGGAAACGUAUCCAUGAGGAUGCAGAUUUGAUCCCUGGCCUUGCUCAGUGGGUUAAGGAUCUGGCGUUGCCAGUGGCUACAGCUCCAACUGGACCUCUUGCCUGGGAACCUCCAUGUGCCUUAGUGCAGCACUCAAAAGCCAAAAAAGAAAAAAAAAAGAAAAGAAAAGAAAAA
ensembl:lncRNA